GGGGAUUUAGCUCAGCGGCAUAAGCACCUGCCUUGUAAGCAGGGGGUGAUGAGUUUGAUCCCCG
rfam:Cavia porcellus supercont2_4 genomic scaffold, whole genome shotgun sequence.